GACGAACGCUGGCGGCGUGCCUAAUACAUGCAAGUAGGACGCAGUUGCGAACGGGAGAGUAACACGUAGGUAACUACCUAUUAGAGGGGGAUAACUAUUGGAAACGAUAGCUAAUACCGCAUACUAGUAGAUGGACCAGCGUUGUAUUAGCUAGUAGGUAGGGUAAUGGCCUACCCAGGCAACGAUACAUAGCCGACCUUGGAGGGUGAUCGGCCACACUGGGACUGAGACACGGCCCAGACUCCUACGGGAGGCAGCAGUGGGGAAUCUUCCGCAAUGGGGGGAACCCUGACCGAGCAACGCCGCGUGAGUGAAGAAGGUUUUCGGGUUGUAAAGCUCUGUUGUUCAGGAAGCGGUACUUAACCAGAAAGGGACGGCUAACUACGUGCCAGCAGCCGCGGUAAUUC
rnacentral:rRNA from 1 species